AACGAACGCUGGCGGCAUGCCUAACACAUGCAAGUCGAACGAGACCUUCGGGUCUAGUGGCGCACGGGUGCGUAACGCGUGGGAACCUGCCCUUAGGUUCGGAAUAACUCCCCGAAAGGGGUGCUAAUACCGGAUAAUGUCUUCGGACCCAAGAUUUAUCGCCUUUGGAUGGGCCCGCGUUGGAUUAGCUAGUUGGUAGGGUAAAAGCCUACCAAGGCGACGAUCCAUAGCUGGUCUGAGAGGAUGAUCAGCCACACUGGGACUGAGACACGGCCCAGACUCCUACGGGAGGCAGCAGUGGGGAAUAGUGGACAAUGGGCGAAAGCCUGAUCCAGCAAUGCCGCGUGAGUGAUGAAGGCCUUAGGGUUGUAAAGCUCUUUUACCCGGGAUGAUAAUGACAGUACCGAGAGAAUAAGCUCCGGCUAACUCCGUG
rnacentral:rRNA from 1 species